rnacentral:rRNA from 1 species
GACGAACGCUGGCGGCGUGCCUAACACAUGCAAGUCGAACGAAGCUUGACUACGGACUCCUUCGGGACGAAGUAAGAUAUGACUGAGUGGCGGACGGGUGAGUAACGCGUGAGUAACCUGCCUUUCAGAGGGGAAUAGCGUUUGGAAACGACUGCUAAUACCGCAUGAUACUUUUUGGGGGCAUCCCCGAAAAGUCAAAGCUUUAUGUGCUGAAAGAUGGUCUCGCGUCUGAUUAGCUAGUUGGUGAGGUAAUGGCUCACCAAGGCGACGAUCAGUAGCCGGUCUGAGAGGAUGAACGGCCACAUUGGGACUGAGAUACGGCCCAG